CUACGGGACGCUGCAGUGGGGAAUUUUGGACAAUGGGCGCAAGCCUGAUCCAGCCAUGCCGCGUGUGGGAAGAAGGCCUUCGGGUUGUAAACCACUUUUGUCAGGGAAGAAACGGUCUGUUCUAAUAAACCGGACUAAUGACGGUACCUGAAGAAUAAGCACCGGCUAACUACGUGCCAGCAGCCGCGGUAAUACGUAGGGUGCAAGCGUUAAUCGGAAUUACUGGGCGUAAAGCGUGCGCAGGCGGCUUUGCAAGACAGAUGUGAAAUCCCCGGGCUCAACCUGGGAACUGCAUUUGUGACUGCAAGGCUGGAGUACGGCAGAGGGGGAUGGAAUUCCGCGUGUAGCAGUGAAAUGCGUAGAUAUGCGGAGGAACACCGAUGGCGAAGGCAAUCCCCUGGGCCUGUACUGACGCUCAUGCACGAAAGCGUGGGGAGCAAACAGGAUUAGAUACCCCAGUAGUC
rnacentral:rRNA from 1 species